GCCGCUCCCCGGGCGAUCGCUGGUGGGUUUUUCGAAAUCCGCCAGAGGAAAGUCCGGACACCACAGGGCAGCGUGCCUCGUGAAAACGAGGGACGGUCGCGUCAAGGCGACUGGACGGAAAGUGCAGCAGAGAGCAAACCGCCGAUGGCCCGCAAGGGAACAGGUAAGGGUGAAAGGGUGGGGUAAGAGCCCACCGCGCCGGAGGCAACGACGGUGGCACGGCAAACCCCGCGCGGUGCAAGACAGAACAGGGGAAGGGCUGCCCGUCCGUUGGAUCCCCGGGUAUUAGUCGCCCCCUGAAAAAUCAGGGAAGUCGCUCGUAAAGAGCGUCUUAGAGAAAUGAUCGUCCGCCUGAGGGAAUGGCCUCAGGAUUGACAGAAUCCGGCUUACAGGGGAGCGGCCCGC
rnacentral:RNase_P_RNA from 1 species